rnacentral:rRNA from 1 species
CUUUUUGGUAGUUUACUACUAGAAAUGACUGAGCGGCGAACGGGUGAGUAACGCGUGAGCAAUCUACCUUAGUUACUGGGAUAGCCCGAGGAAACUCGGAUUAAUACCGGAUAUUCUUAUUUUUUCACAUGAAGUUUUAAGGAAAGGUCAGCCGAACUAAGAUGAGCUCGCGUUCUAUCAGCUAGUUGGUGGGGUAAAAGCCUACCAAGGCUACGACGGAUAGCUGGUCUGAGAGGACGAUCAGCCACACUGGGACUGAGACACGGCCCAGACUCCUACGGGAGGCUGCAGCAGGGAAUAUUGUGCAAUGAGCGAAAGCUUGACACAGCGACACCGCGUGUGGGAUGACGGUUCUAGGAUUGUAAACCACUUUCAGGAGGGA